AACGAACGCUGGCGGCAUGCCUAACACAUGCAAGUCGAACGAGACCUUCGGGUCUAGUGGCGCACGGGUGCGUAACGCGUGGGAACCUGCCCUUAGGUUCGGAAGAACUCCCCGAAAGGGGUGCUAAUACCGGAUAAUUUCUUCGGACCAAAGAUUUAUCGACUUUGUAUGGGCCCGCGUUGUAUUAGCUAGUUGGUAGGGUAAAAGCCUACCAAGGCUACGAUCCAUAGCUGGGCUGAGAGGAUGAUCAACCACACUGGGACUGAGACACGGCCCAGACUCCUACAGGAGGCAGCAGUGGGGAAUAUUGGACAAUGGGCGAAAGCCUGAUCCAGCAAUGCCGCGUGAGUGCUGAAGGCCUUAGGGUUGUAAAGCUCUUUUACCCGGGAUGAUAAUGACAGUACCGGGAGAAUAAGCUCCGGCUAACUCCGUG
rnacentral:rRNA from 1 species